AGCAUCAUCAGCGAAGCGGCAGCUCCCAGAAGGGCCUAUUACCGGGCUGCUUUAGAUGAAGUUCCGGAAGACAUCUUGAACAAUGGAAGACCACAUGCGCGGCCGUAGCUAUGGUUACUCCUCACUCCCACGUUCAUGCCACAGCAGAUUCGCCUUACUCUCUACAUUUGUCAUUAAUGAAACAUUGCAUUUGAGAAGAUGACACCAAGAAGGAGAAGAAUAAUCAGUUUUCUCCAAUGGAGUGACACAGGGGAUAUCAACUCUAGGACGGGCCUCAUCUUCAGAAGUAACUGACCAGCAUAUAAUGGACUCCAUGGGCUUUUGUGGGCUUUUAUUUGGUUACAGUUCCAUGUUUUGCUGUUUUUUUUUUCUUGGAGGGAUGGCGUCUGACCAUGGAGCAGUAGACCUGAAUCUGUGGGCAGUGGCCGGUCUCACUGCACCCACAUCAACAGUAUCGGGGACCUGGUUAGAGAUGUGGUGCUGACGCUCCUCAGGCCUACUAAAUAGGACUGAGCUAAUGGAAUUCUCAGAUGACCACUUCUCAUUAAAGUUGGAAAAAAAUGUGUUCUGGAGGAAAACCAGGUAAAGUAAAGACCCAUUUAAUACCAGUGGUACUAAUGAACAGUUUCAUUGUUCUUGAAAUAGGCCAUUCAGUGAUCUAAUUAUUGUCACAUGUUUACUACCUUGAACAAUCCUGUGAAACGAGGGUUUAUGUUACAUUCACUUUGCAGGUAUAGACGUUGAGGCAGCAGACAGAAGAGGUUCAGUGCCUUUCAUCCACAAAGUGGACUAUAGGGGCAUACAACACCUUAAGAGACAUGGGUGGCUAUGACCGGUCCUCCAAUCAGGGGAGUCUCUUGGUCGGAAGGUGCCUUUGAGCUAGCCUGGCUCAUGGAUAGUGCUGGGAGAACAAGGUGGAUUCACACUUAAAAUUUUUUUCUGUUUCAUCGGAAAAGAAAAGUGUGUUCUUUCUUAAUUACAUAAUUAAAGGAACAUGACUUUAAUAAUUACCUGUUCUAAACCUCCAUAUUUUUAGAUAUGUAUUUAAGUUUUUCUUCCUCCUUUUUUUCCCUCAGUCUAUAAUGGAAGGCUUUUGCUUCUGAACAGUAGCAUUGUUCUGAGCAGUGUUGUUCACAAACUCUCACCAUCAUGUUAAUCUUAAGCUCUAGGCUAGGACCAUGUCUACCUACCUUUGGGCCGUGUGUGUGUGUGUGUGUGUGUGUGUGUGUGUGUGUGUGUGUGUGUGUGUGUUAAUGCUGGUGGUCACACUGCCUAGCCUACCCUCAGAUCUGUGAUAAUCAUCCUGCUUCAACAGGAUGUGAACCA
rnacentral:sRNA from 1 species